rnacentral:rRNA from 1 species
CCUACGGGAGGCAGCAGUGGGGAAUAUUGGACAAUGGGGGCAACCCUGAUCCAGCCAGGCCGCGUGUGUGAAGAAGGCCCUCGGGUUGUAAAGCACUUUCAGUGAGGAAGAACGCCUGGUGGUUAAUACCCAUCAGGAAAGACAUCACUCACAGAAGAAGCACCGGCUAACUCCGUGCCAGCAGCCGCGGUAAUACGGAGGGUGCGAGCGUUAAUCGGAAUUACUGGGCGUAAAGCGCGCGUAGGUGGCUUGAUAAGCCGGUUGUGAAAGCCCCGGGCUCAACCUGGGAACGGCAUCCGGAACUGUCAAGCUAGAGUGCAGGAGAGGAAGGUAGAAUUCCCGGUGUAGCGGUGAAAUGCGUAGAGAUCGGGAGGAAUACCAGUGGCGAAGGCGGCCUUCUGGACUGACACUGACACUGAGGUGCGAAAGCGUGGGUAGCAAACAGGAUUAGAUACCCGUGUAGUC